rnacentral:rRNA from 1 species
UAGCACGUAGGUGGGUUUGUAAGUCAGAUGUGAAAGCCUUCUGUUCAAAGGAAGUACGGCAUCUGAAACUGCAGAUCUUGAGUGUAGGAGGGGAGAGUGGAACUUCUGGUGGAGCGGUGAAAUGCGUAGAUAUCAGAAGGAACGUCGGCGGCGAAAGCGACUCUCUGGCCUAUUACUGACACUGAGUGUGCGAAGAUUGGGGGAGCAAACGGGAUUAGAUACCCCGGUAGUCCUAACUGUAAACGAUGGGCACUAAGUAGAGGGGUUUU